CCUACGGGAGGCAGCAGUAGGGAAUCUUCCACAAUGGACGAAAGUCUGAUGGAGCAACGCCGCGUGAGUGAAGAAGGGUUUCGGCUCGUAAAGCUCUGUUGGUAGGGAAGAAAGCUAAAGUUAGUAACUGUCCUUGAUUUGACGGUACUUACUUAGAUAGUCACGGCUAACUACGUGCCAGCAGCCGCGGUAAUACGUAGGAGGCAAGCGUUGUCCGGAUUUAUUGGGCGUAAAGCGAGUGCAGGCGGUGCAAUAAGUCUGAUGUAAAAGCCUCGGCUCAACCGGAGAAUUGCAUCAGAAACUGUUGAACUAGAGUGCAGAAGAGGAGAGUGGAACUCCAUGUGUAGCGGUGGAAUGCGUAGAUAUAUGGAAGAACACCAGUGGCGAAGGCGGCUCGCUGGGCUGCAACUGACGCUGAGGCUCGAAAGCAUGGGUAGCGAACAGGAUUAGAUACCCGAGUAGUC
rnacentral:rRNA from 1 species